rnacentral:rRNA from 1 species
UACAGAGGUCCCGAGCGUUGUUCGGAUUCAUUGGGCGUAAAGGGUGCGUAGGCGGUUUGCUAAGUUUGAUGUGAAAUUCCAGGGCUCAACCCUGGCAUGGCAUUGAAUACUGGCGGACUAGAGUACUGGAGAGGAAACUGGAAUUUACGGUGUAGCAGUGAAAUGCGUAGAGAUCGUAAGGAAGACCAGUGGCGAAGGCGAGUUUCUGGACAGUAACUGACGCUGAGGCACGAAGGCCAGGGGAGCAAACGGG